GGUGGUAUGUUCUACCAUGGGCAAGGGAAUGAUACACUUACAAAAACUGUAAAGACUAAGGUGUCAAAUACUGAUGGCCUCACGUCUCUCCAAAUGAUACCCGAAACGAAAUAGAAAAAAGAAAGCGUAUAGUGACUUUUGGGACACCCUGUAAA